rnacentral:hammerhead_ribozyme from 1 species
AUUCAGCUGACGAGUCCCAAAUAGAAGGAGACGCGCUUCAAACUGGAU